rnacentral:rRNA from 1 species
AUUGAACGCUGGCGGCAUGCUUUACACAUGCAAGUCGAACGGCAGCACGGGGGCAACCCUGGUGGCGAGUGGCGAACGGGUGAGUAAUAUAUCGGAACGUACCCGGAAAUGGGGGAUAACGUAGCGAAAGUUACGCUAAUACCGCAUAUUCUGUGAGCAGGAAAGCAGGGGAUCGCAAGACCUUGCGCUGAUUGAGCGGCCGAUAUCAGAUUAGCUAGUUGGUGAGGUAAAGGCUCACCAAGGCGACGAUCUGUAGCGGGUCUGAGAGGAUGAUCCGCCACACUGGAACUGAGACACGGUCCAGACUCCUACGGGAGGCAGCAGUGGGGAAUUUUGGACAAUGGGCGCAAGCCUGAUCCAGCCAUGCCGCGUGAGUGAAGAA